rnacentral:tRNA from 1 species
CCGGGAUAGCUCAGUUGGUAGAGCAGGGGACUGAAAA